UUUGAAUACUUAUAGCAAAGUAUAAGGAUAUAUAUAAGUGGAUCUUUUGCCUGCUUCCAUUAUACAAUAUCUACAGGGGGAAAAAAAUGAAAUCUUUCUCAUAGCCUGUCCUUUUGCAGCAGCACAUAAAGACCUGCCCAGUUUUUUAUACAGGGUACCUAAUGCUUCAUAGUAAUACUAUGGUUUGUGGGAUGCUCUCUAUGUCCGGAUUCUCUUCCAAGAAACUCACAUGUCAUAUCUCAUUGAUUCCUCACAAAGACUUAUAAGGCCAGUGUUAUUAUCAUCAUUUUUAUAGUUGAAGAAACUGAGACAGAGAGAUUAAGAAAUGGACCAAUCUCCACAACUAGUAAGGACUGAGGCAGAAUUUAUCAUCAUCCAGCCUAGUACCCACAUUCAUCCUUUCUCUAUAUUGCCUCCUACAGAUAUACCACGAUUUAUUUCCUCAUCCCUUAUCAAAGGUCAUUGAGAUCAUCUCCAAUGUUUUAUUAUAACAAUAUUGUUGUAGUGAACACCCUUCAAAAUACCUUCCUUACAUAUUUGACAAAGUAUUUCUGAAGAAUGGGUUCCUAUAUGUAAUAGCAAAAAUAAUAAUGAAAAAAAUUCGACAUGCAAGCAUUUUUCAUAAAUUAAUUUAUUUAAUGUUCACUAUAAUCCUACGAAGUAUGUAUUAAACCUAUGAGAUACAUAUCAUAUAUUAUUAUCCUCUUUCCACUGAUGAGAAACAGAGGCACAUACAGGGUAAGUAAUAUUCCCAAUAUUUGGAGAACUUCUGGAACAAAGGAUAAGCAUAGUAUUUUUAUUUUGAUAAGUACUAUCAACCUGCCCUUGAAAAGAUUAGUACCAAUCCAUAGUCCCAUUUUGUUCAUGUAAAAGAGUGCUCUUUACCCCCACAUGUCCUCAUCAAAACUCGCAAUUUUAAAAAUACUGCCAAUCUUCCAGGUGAAAAUAGUAUUUCCUUGUAACAGAAACUUGAAAACUUCUCAAAUUUGCUGCAACUUGAAAGCAUAUGUUUAAAGACUCGUACACAAAUGUUCAUAGGAGCUUUUUUUUUUUUUUGGUAAAAAUUAGGUACCAUUCACAUGUCCAACAACAGGUGAAUGGUUAAGCAAACUCUGGUGUAUUCAUACAGUAGAGGACUUCCAAGCAAUAAAAAGGAAUUAACACCCUACAAAAUAUAUGAAACUCAUAAUCGUUUUGUAGAAGACUUCAAACUGCAGCCUGACGAACCUCCGCCAACUGGAAUUGAGGAAGUUCAUAUUCAAAGAUGCAAAUAAAUACUGUAUUAAGUCCACCGUAUCAAGUUAAGAAUGAAAAUACUACCUGACACAACCUG